AGGGAAAUAGGUUAAUAUUCCUAUAUCUUAAUUACACGGAAAUCUUCUGUUCGCAGUUGGUUUAAGGGCGGCAACGUUAUAUGAAACCAUAAACGUCAUGCAUGAUUCGAGUUAGAGAUUUCUUCUCUAAUUUAAUAUAUUUUAACCAUGGAAUAAAUUCAGUUUGAGAUAUGGUUAUAAAUAUUGUAAAGUAGCACAGUUUUUGUGCUAUCUCGAUUUUCAUACAUGACCCGUGAAAAUAUGGUGGAUCCUUAAUUAUGUGUAAUAAGGCCGUACCGAAACCGCAUCAGGUUUUCAAGAUGAAUAGUCUCUGGUCGAUAGAAUAAUGUAGGUAAGGGAAGUCGGCAAAUUACAUCCGUAACUUUGGGAAAAGAAUUGGCUCUACGGAUUAAUUAAUUGAAAUAUGUAUUUGAUAUGUAUAUUUGAUACCGACAAUCUGUGGAAUUGUUAUUAUGAACUUGGGUUAUCAAUGAAAAAAAAUGGAUNUGGUAUGUAUAAAUGGCUUCNGCCNUGUUUGAUUNUAAUGAAUAAUCANCGUANAACUGACNCGGACACNGGGNAAUCCGACUGUCUAAUUA
rnacentral:rRNA from 1 species